rnacentral:rRNA from 1 species
UACGUAGGGUGCAAGCGUUAAUCGGAAUUACUGGGCGUAAAGCGUGCGCAGGCGGCUUUGCAAGACAGAUGUGAAAUCCCCCGGGCUUAACCUGGGAACUGCAUUUGUGACUGCAUGGCUGGAGUGCGGCAGAGGGGGAUGGAAUUCCGCGUGUAGCAGUGAAAUGCGUAGAUAUGCGGAGGAACACCGAUGGCGAAGGCAAUCCCCUGGCCUGCACUGACGCUCAUGCACGAAGCGU